GCGUCCAUUUAUAUGACCAAUAAAUACAGUUUACUUGGCACUAAAAGUCACAAGCUUUUAAGGCAACAAAGCUUCAGUAAAAGAGUCUCCUUGUAGAAACAAAGUUUGCCAAAUGCUAAAAAGCAUGUCACUAUUGAUUCACAAAAUAAAAUAUAUCUCAUUAAAUCUAAACAAAUAAAAAAUCACUAAUCCAAAAUAUUAAUGUCACAACUUAAGAAAUAAACUUAAUGUCUCGACUAGUAUAAACAAUCCUAUCAAAAAUGUCGUAAAAUAAUCAUUGAGUUCUUCACCAUAUUGAAACUUUCCACAUGCGAUUUUUUUUAAUAUUAGAUUAUAUGACCUGAAAUAAUAAAUAAAUAUGUCAAAAAUUAAUUGUAAUGUAUAAAAACAACACAAAUAGGGAGAAUAAUCUAACAAUUACAAGAAAGAAGCAUUCAGUAACAAGUGUUCAUCCAUUUGGUCUCACAAUUAUGCUAUCUUAAUCCCAUGAAAAAGGCUGAGUAUGUAAAACAAUGUCAGGGGAAACAACAAAUAAGUGUAGAGUUAAUCAAAGGAAGAAUAAACAACAAAGUAACAACCAUUGUGUUUCUUUAUGUGCUGGAACAACCUACUAUUUUUGCUUAAACCUACUAACAAUAACAUAUCACUGUAAUUUCACAAGUGUGGUGUGGAAAUGGCAGCGUGUACGCAUAUCUUACUCGUAUUUUAUGAAGGUAGAGAGAUUAUUUUUGAUAGAUCCUCGUCUCAAGUCAAGCAUUUCAAAACAAGUAUAAAAAUAUUUGUUGGCGGAACUACCGUGUUUGACAACACCAAUGAUUUUUUUUCAUGUUAGCCCAACCUUGUCAAUGGAUUUUGUUAAUUAGAAAUCAAGAAAACUCCUAUUUUGUGUAGAGUACUAGAAUAGUGCGAGGAUAUUGAAAAACCAUUUAUCAAGUGUAAGUGGUAACUCUGUGAAAAAAGUAACAUUUUAUUUGAAUAAUAGACUGUUAGACAGUGGGCAAUUAUACCAGAUGACUCAUGUCAAUAUGUAUACUAGUUUUGCAGUUCAAAAAAUCCUUAAACCUACUAAUUUCUCCAUUUUCUUUAAGAAAAUAAAUAAACAAAUAUUAUUGUUUGUCCACCUAGAUAAAACUAUCACCACAACACAAAUAGGUAAUAUUUGUUGUCAAACUAGAUAUUUAGAUAUCACCAUAACGCAUCCUUUCAGACUUAAUUAUGCACUUAUGAUCCAAAGAAUGUAACUAAACAGAGCAAAAAAAAUAUGAAUGGAACAAGAAAUCAAACUUCAUACCUAUUGCACUUCAUUAAGGUAUUUCGAGCAUGAUUCAAUGAAGCAAGGCAAAUAGUAAAGUUCAUUAUGUCUGCACAAAAAGAUUACAUUCAGCAGAGCUACCUAACCUUGUAAUAAAAUUAACUAUACUUUUGUCUUUGAGUACAGUUGAUACUAGGAGGAGACCUGAAAAAUAUGGAUUUAGCUUUCAACGUAUCUAAAUGAUCUUGAAAUAGGGUGGCAAAAUCAUCAGUGUACAAUUAUUCUUGUAUGUGAAAAAUAUGCAGCAACUUCCUUUAGUAUAUUUACGAUAAAACACAUAUAUCAUCAAACAUCAAAAAGGAAAUAGGCAAAUCUCAUCACGUUUCUCAAUAAAGAAUUAGUGCUCUUGAAUGGACGAUAUUAUCAUAAAAUCGUUAGAUUCAAACUGGUAAAUAAGCACAUUCACCAUAAAUUAAAGGAGUUGAGUUAUUAAUCAGUUACAUGUGAUCAAUCAAGGAAUAAAAGAUUUAGCACAAAAUAGCAGCGAAAAAAGGACAUUCGAAGCCAAGAGAUACAAAAUGCAUUACAAGGAGAAUAAAAAAAUUGAGAAAUUAAGAUUAAUCCACAACUUGACAACAUUUAGGAAAAAAAUAUCACUAGAGAAACAAAGUAUGUGUGAUUGUGUUCCAUAUCUGUUUAUAUGCUUCACUUGAGGGUUCAAAAUCAUACUAGUGUUACAAAGGCAUGUUUCUGGAGAAUCUUGAAGCAUGGAUAUGCUUUUGAACAUUUUUGUAAAAGAUCGUCUAGCUGCAGAGCCUUUACUCUAAGCUAAUGGAAAGAGUUUUAUUAAUAAAUUAAACAACUGCAUACAAUUGGAACGAGAAAUAGGAAAAUUAAGAAUACACACAAGACAUUCAAGUUACUAGAUCUGAACAGAUCAGCUGUCCACAUAAUCAUAAGGAUGCACAAGACUUAAAUACAUAAGCACACGAACCUUGUUUCUCGUAUCAUAUAUGUAUCCUUCCAAGUUAUUCUUCUAGUCUUACAUUCUUCUUCUUCAUCUCUUUUGACUAGUGCUACCAAUUUUCUUUUAGUUUCACUUAAAAAUUCUUUUGAAAGAGAUGCUCCUCGCUUAGUGUUCUUCUCAUAAAUCUACACGAACAAAUAAUUUUCAAGGAUGAGACAGAUUAAAAGCAUUGUAACAUUACGAUAUUACUAAAAUAAUGUUAUAUUUGUCACAGUGACGCCUAAUCAAAACCAGUAAAUAAAAGGAUGUAAACUAGAUACUCUUGCAAAUGGAUAACUUGAAGACCUUAACUCGAACUCGAAAAAUCUGAUUCCUUUUCUUUUUCUCUGUACAAGGACCUAUGCGGCUAGAAUAAUUUACACCUGGAUUAGAGGUGUUACUAGUACUUUCACUUGUAUUCAACUUUUAGUUUUUUUCCUUCGUACUACUAGAUACACAUUCAAAUGAUGUGUUCACAGAAGCAGAGGUUGAGUUGUCCAACCUAAUCGAUAAUACUUGAGAUAUCAAAUAACAAAAAAUUAAAAAGUUUCAAGUAUGAUAGAUAAUCUUGACAUUGGCAUUUCAUCGAACACUUGUUCUAGAUAUGACUUUCCAACUUCAAGAGUACAUUCAGAUGUAGGAUAGUUGGGUAUAUUACUCAUACCAACAAAGAAAAGUAUCAGGGUAACUCAAAGAACCAAAUGUGCAUCACUUAAACAAUCAUAAUGGGCCUUGAGAAAAGCAUCCAAAUAUCCAAGAGGAGAAGUAACGACUUUUUCUGGAAAUUGCACCACCAAUUUCUCAGAUAAAUAUUUUAAUCAAGCAAUUUAUUGUGUUAUAAUAGACAUCAACAAAAAAUAAAAUCAAAAUCAAAAGAAAAUAAAUAGUUUGAAAGAGAGAGUAGAGAGAUAUUACUUGAUGAUGGCAACUGGCAAUGUUAAAAAAUGAGUUGGUUGCCUUCCUGCGAGAAAUAUUUUGCUUUAUUUGAUGUAAAUUAGUGGCAGAGAUGAUACUGAAAGCUUAGAAACUUGGGAGUGAAUGUAAAUAAGCGGCAAUAUUUCAUAGCGAAAUGUU
rnacentral:lncRNA from 1 species